rnacentral:rRNA from 1 species
AGCGGACCUCAUAAAGUAUGUCGUAGUCCGGAUUGGAGUCUGCAACUCGACUCCAUGAAGUCGGAAUCGCUAGUAAUCGUAGAUCAGAAUGCUACGGUGAAUACGUUCCCGGGCCUUGUACACACCGCCCGUCACACCAUGGGAGUGGGUUGCAAAAGAAGUAGGUAGCUUAACCUUCGGGAGGGCGCUUACCACUUUGUGAUUCAUGACUGGGGUGAAGUCGUAACAAGGUAACCGUAGGGGAACCUGCGGUUGGAUCACCUCCUUACCUUAAAGAA